AGCUUAUGCAUGAUAGAAGUGGGUUCCCUGUGGAAGAGAGAGAGAGAGAGAGAAGGAGCUCGUGGGAAUGGGACAGAGUUGUUAUAGCGAAGAGUAGACAAGUUGUUGUGGUUCUUAAAAAAUGAAUCCGGAAUUCGAAUGAUUUUAUCUUCAGGACAGCACAUAUGUCGAAUCGUGAAAACCUGGACUCGUGAAAACCUGAACUGGUGAAAACCUGAACUCGUGAAAUUAAUCCUGUAGCGUGGAAUUGUGAAAUCAUUGACUGACUGAACUCUGAAUAAACUGAUAAUCUAGAACUUGAA